ACAAGCAGUGGGAGCACCUUCGUGGUGUGACUGCGUACCUUUUGUAUAAUGGGUCAGCGACUUAUAUUUUGUAGCAAGGUUAACCGUAUAGGGGAGCCGUAGGGAAACCGAGUCUUAACUGGGCGAAUAGUUGCAAGGUAUAGACCCGAAACCCGGUGAUCUAGCCAUGGGCAGGUUGAAGGUUGGGUAACACUAACUGGAGGACCGAACCGACUAAUGUUGAAAAAUUAGCGGAUGACUUGUGGCUGGGGGUGAAAGGCCAAUCAAACCGGGAGAUAGCUGGUUCUCCCCGAAAGCUAUUUAGGUAGCGCCUCGUGAACUCAUCUUCGGGGGUAGAGCACUGUUUCGGCUAGGGGGCCAUCCCGGCUUACCAAACCGAUGCAAACUCCGAAUACCGAAGAAUGUUAUCACGGGAGACACACGGCGGGUGCUAACGUCCGUCGUGAAGAGGGAAACAACCCAGACCGCCAGCUAAGGUCCCAAAGUCAUGGUUAAGUGGGAAACGAUGUGGGAAGGCACAGACAGCCAGGAUGUUGGCUUAGAAGCAGCCAUCAUUUAAAGAAAGCGUAAUAGCUCACUGGUCGAGUCGGCCUGCGCGGAAGAUGUAACGGGGCUAAACCAUGCACCGAAGCUGCGGCAGCGACGCUUAGGCGUUGUUGGGUA
rnacentral:rRNA from 1 species